UACGUAGGCAGCGAGCGUUGUUCGGAGUUACUGGGCGUAAAGAGUGCGUAGGCGGUUUUCUAAGUUUGGUGUGAAAUCUCCCGGCUUAACUGGGAGGGUGCGCCGAAGACUGGAAGGCUUGAGUAUGGGAGAGGUAAGCGGAAUUCCUGGUGUAGCGGUGAAAUGCGUAGAUAUCAGGAGGAACACCUGCGGUGAAGACGGGUUGCUGGGCUGACACUGACGCUGAGGCGCGAAAGCCAGGGGAGCAAACGGG
rnacentral:rRNA from 1 species